GGGAAACUGCCUGAUGGAGGGGGAUAACUACUGGAAACGGUAGCUAAUACCGCAUGACCUCGCAAGAGCAAAGUGGGGGACCUUCGGGCCUCACGCCAUCGGAUGUGCCCAGAUGGGAUUAGCUAGUAGGUGAGGUAAUGGCUCACCUAGGCGACGAUCCCUAGCUGGUCUGAGAGGAUGACCAGCCACACUGGAACUGGGACACGGUCCAGACUCCUACGGGAGGCAGCAGUGGGGAAUAUUGCACAAUGGGCGCAAGCCUGAUGCAGCCAUGCCGCGUGUGUGAAGAAGGCCUUAGGGUUGUAAAGCACUUUCAGCGAGGAGGAAGGGUUCAGUGUUAAUAGCACUGUGCAUUGACGUUACUCGCAGAAGAAGCACCGGCUAACUCCGUGCCAGCAGCUGCGGUAAUACGGAGGGUGCAAGCGUUAAUCGGAAUUACUGGGCGUAAAGCGCACGCAGGCGGUUUGUUAAGUCAGAUGUGAAAUCCCCGAGCUUAACUUGGGGACUGCAUUUGAAACUGGCAAGCUAGAGUCUUGUAGAGGGGGGUAGAAUUCCAGGU
rnacentral:rRNA from 1 species